GAGUGAUAGAAGCCUGAGGGAUGGUGUGUGCACCUUCAUGAGUCUGUGCUCACAUGCAUGAUGGGUGGGACUAAAGCUGUGUCCCCACUAGAUUUUCCUGGUUGUGUGUGUGUGUGUAUGUGUGUGUGUAAGUAUCUGGGGAAGGGGGUCAGUAGGAUGCUGGUAUGUCUAUGCAAUUCUUGCCAAAGGAGGAGUACGUUGGUAUAACAACUAUCAUUUUUUUCUUCUCCAUAUCACUUCAAUUUUCUUUUCUUUUUGUACCUGACACAGUGGGUCUAGGACCAGGGUUGCAACUGCCACCUUUUGAGACAGGGUCUCACUCUGUCACCCAGGCUUGAGUGCAGUAUUGCAAUCUUGGCUCACUGUAGUCUCAACCUCCCAGGCUCAAGUGAUCCUCCCACCUCAGCCUCCUGAGUAGCUUCACCACCAUGCCCAACUAAUUUUUGUAUUUUUUUUGUAGAGAUGGGGUUUUACCAUGAUGCCCAAGCUGGUCUUAAAAUCCUGGGCUCAAGCAAUGCACCCACCUCAGCCUCCGAAAAUUCUGGGAUUACAGGUGUGAGCCGCCACACCCGGCCAGAUUGAAGGUGUGUGGCAACCCUAUGUCAAGCAAGAAUAUCAGUACUACCUUUCCAACAGCACGUGCUCACUGUUCAGCAUGGCUAGGGAGGCCUCAGGAAACUUACAAUCACCUUGGAAGGUACCUCUUAACAGGGCGGCAGGAGAGAGAAUGAGAACCCAGCAAAGGGAGAAGCCCCUUAUAAGACCAUCAGAUCUCAUGAGAACUCACUCACUAUCAUGAGAACGGUAUGAGGGAACUGCUCCCAGGAUUCAAUAAUCUCCACCUGGCCCCUCCCUUGACACGCAGGGAUUAUGGGAACUACAAUUCAAGAUGAGAUUUGGAUGGGGACACCGCCAAACCAUAUCACAAGUGUAGCUAAGGAGGUGGAGAAAAGGGAACCCUGUACAAUGCUGGUGGGAAUGCAAAUUGGUGCAGCCAAUAUAGAAAACAGGAAGUUUCUCAAAAAAUUAAAAAUAGAACUAAGAGAUGGUUCAGCAAUCCCCCUUCUGGGAAUGUAUCCAAAAUAAAUAAAAUCAAUGUCUGGAAGAGAUAGCUGCAGUCCCAUGUUUGCUGCAGCAUUAUUUACAGUAGCAAAAACAUUUAAACAACUUAAAUGUCUGUGGACAAAUGAAUGAAUAAAGAAAAUGUGGUAUAUAAAGACAAUGAAAUGUUAUUCAGCCUAAAGAAAGAAAUCCUGCAUCUGGGACAAGUAUGAACCUGCAGGGUAUUAUGCUAAGUUAGAUAAGCCAGACACAGAAGGACAAAUAUUGCCA
rnacentral:lncRNA from 1 species